rnacentral:rRNA from 1 species
AGCUCUAUUAGCGUAUAUUAACGUUGUUGAUGUUAAAAAGCUCGUAGUUGAAAGUCCGGCCUUCGGGUCUGUCUAGGAGGCUGUAGGAUAAGGUUAUACUUUUCUUGCAGUUGAAUAGACUUUUACUGUGAACAAAAUAGAGUGCUCAAAGCAAGCGAUAGCUUGAAUAUCUUAGCAUGGAAUAAUAGAAUAUGACUUUAUUCACUAUGUUGGUUUUUGGAUAGAGUAAUGGUUAACAGGAACAGUUGGGGGCAUUUGUAUUUAAUAGUCAGAGGUGGAAUUCUUAGAUUUAUUAAAGACAAACUAAUGCGAAGGCAUUUGCCAAGGAUGUUUUCAUUA